rnacentral:rRNA from 1 species
AUGAAUCCCCUGCUAAACAAUCCGCUCAGCGGCGGCUGCGCGUUCCCGUCGGUGGCAGCCGCGCUGCGGUUGCCGGCGGCCUCCCUCUGUACAAGCGCGGGCCGGAGCAGGAGCAGGAGGCGGCAGCCCAGUUUAGCGCGCGCAGGCUCGGAUGGCUCUGACGGCGCCGUCGCCGGCGCAGUAACGGAAGGGGAUGCAGGCGCCGGCGGCCAGCGCGGUGCCUCAGCCGAGCCGGCGGCGGAGAAGCAGCAGCCCGUCGUCAAUCCUAAGAUCGAGAAGGAGCUCAAGAAGGCAGUUCAGAAGACCGCGGCGACGUUUGCGCCGAGGGCGUCCACCAAAAGCAAGAACCCCGCCGUACCCGGAUCCACCCUGUACACCAUCUUUGAGGUCCAGGCGUACGCCUCCAUGCUUGCCGGCGGCGCCCUCUCCUUCAACCUCGUCUUCCCCUCCAGCGAGCCGGACAUUUGGAGGCUCAUGGGGAUGUGGUCCAUCUGGAUGUUUACUAUACCUUCUUUGCGGGCCCGUGACUGCUCAAACAAGGAGAAAGAGGCUCUCAAUUAUUUGUUCAUCCUGGUCCCUUUGAUCAACGUGAUCAUCCCAUUCUUCGUGAAAUCGUUUGCGGUUGUCUGGUCAGCAGAUACGGUCGCCUUUUUCGUGAUGUAUGCAUGGAAGCUUGGAUGGCUGCAAAAGUCCGAGUGA